GCCCGGGUGGCGGAACUGGCAGACGCACAGGACUUAAAAUCCUGUGACCCUUUGGGUCGUGCGGGUUCGAUCCCCGCCCCGGGCA
rnacentral:tRNA from 1 species